rnacentral:rRNA from 1 species
UACGUAGGUGGCAAGCGUUGUCCGGAUUUACUGGGCGUAAAGAGCGCGCAGGCGGUCGUUCAAGUCGCGUGUGAAAGCCCCCGGCUCAACUGGGGAGGGUCACGCGAUACUGAUCGACUCGAAGGCAGGAGAGGGUAGUGGAAUUCCCGGUGUAGUGGUGAAAUGCGUAGAUAUCGGGAGGAACACCAGUGGCGAAGGCGGCAUCCUGGACCGACAUUGACGCUGAAAACCGAAAGCUAGGGGAGCAAACGGG